GACGAACGCUGGCGGCGUGCCUAAUACAUGCAAGUCGAACGCUUCUUUCCUCCCGAGUGCUUGCACUCGAUUGGAAAGAGGAGUGGCGGACGGUGGAGUAACACGUGGGUAACCUACCCAUCAUAGGGGGAUAACACUUGGAAACAGGUGCUAAUACCGCAUAACAGUUUAUGCCGCAUGGCAUAAGAGUGAAAGGCGCUUUCGGGUGUCGUUGAUGGAUGGACCCGCGGUGCAUUAGCUAGUUGGUGAGGUAACGGCUCACCAAGGCGACGAUGCAUAGCCGACCUGAGAGGGUGAUCGGCCACACGGGGACUGAGACACGGCCCAGACUCCUGCGGGAGGCAGCAGUAGGGAAUGUUCGGCAAUGGACGAAAGUAUGACCGAGCAACGCCGCGUGAGUGAAGAAGGUGUUGGGAUCGUAAAACUCUGUUGUUAGAGAAGAACAAGGACGGUAGUAAAUGAAGGUCGCCUGACGGUAUCUAACCAGAAAGCCACGGCUAACUACGUG
rnacentral:rRNA from 1 species